rnacentral:misc_RNA from 1 species
GAUGAAGAACGUAGCGAAAUGCGAUAAUUAAUGUGAAUUGCAGAAUUUAGUGAAUCAUCGAAUCUUUGAACGCACAUUGCGCCCCUUGGUAUUCCGGGGGGCAUGCCUGUUCGAGCGUCAUUUCAACCCUCAAGCUCUGCUUGGUCUUGGGCCGCGCCGGCAACGGCGGGCCUCAAAAACAGUGGCGGCGCCAUCUGGUCCCUCAGCGUAGUAAUUCUUCUCGCUGCUGGGCCCCGGUGGCUGCUUGCCAGCAACCCCAAACUUUCUAUGGUUGACCUCGGAUCAGGUAGGGAUACCCGCUGAACUUAAGCAUAUCAAUAAGCGGAGGA